AAAAAAGCAGGUCUUUGUUGCCUUUUUGUGAACUCGGCUCUUGUAAACUUCAGGAAAAUUACUUGUGCAUUUUUCUUGGGUAAAGCUCUGGAUUUUACUGGUGCCUGAUGGUUCAGUAAAUGAUGCUACAUUU